rnacentral:lncRNA from 7 species
AUGACGUCAUCACCGCCGCGAUGGCGUCACCGCGGCAUAGGAUUCGACCUCGCAGCAGAACGCUCCGUGGCUCCCGCGGAUGUAGUAGUACUCGACGCACUGGGACACGUUCUUCGUCUGGACCUGAGCGGGAGGAACGGAAGUGACCUCUAUGGGAGAUGGCAGGCAUUGCCCGACCCCCCCGACCACAGCGCCCCAGGGCCGGGCGCAGCCCCUCCCCUCAGCCUCCAGGCUUCACCUUCUUCUGGAUCAGGUAGAAAUCCUUCUUGUGGGCAUGAAAGGCGUUUCUGAAGAGCUGCCUCUCCACGGGCGUCCACACAUCCGAGCCUGGGGAUGAAGCAGCACUCAGCACUGCGGUGCGACGCCGGGAACGGCUCAGGGCAGUCACUGCUCACACCUCUGCACCUCUCCCCUCCGGGACGUUUGGAAGGCAGCUCUGAGCUCGUUACCUGUGUAGCGGUAAUUAGCGAGAGGAUGGGACUGGGAUUUGUGCGGCCAUCCGAACAGCAGCAGCUCCAGAGCGUCCUGCAGGCGGAGGAGAAGGGCUUCAGAUGCCAGGAGAAGCAGACGUGGAACGCUCUGUGCCUUCUGCUCCCAGCUCCGCGCUGCCGCAGUGCCCUCCAGUGCAGGGACGGAUCUGUGCUCCGGCCGCGCUCCGCCACCGCCUCGGCCCAAAGGACUCCGCACUUCCAGCAGCUCGUGGGCCCAGCUGAGCUCCCGGCUCACACCAGGAAGGAUUCGUUGUGGCGCUGUUAAUUACAGCCCGGCAGCGGCUCCUUACCACCACGUUGCCCCGUGCUUCGUGCAGGCAGUGCAGCGCCAGCUCCAGGUUGGUUCCCCCGCCCGGCAUGACGCUGGAACACGCCAUGUUCAGCAGCUCCAUCACUGCAAGGCAAUGGAAAUCAAAGCGCAUCGGCUCCCACCGUAGAACCCAAGGGGUACCAAAAAAGAGAGGUGAGGGGCACUGCUGUGGGCUCCCACCAAGCUGACCCCCUCCUGCAGCCCACCUGGGGGCGCACAGCCACUCACAUCCCACAGCUCCGGCCCCCAGCCCCACUUCUGCCCCAUGGAACAGAGCACGGAAGAGCAAGGCAGAGCCUCGGGGCGUGCAGAAAGCUGCAGCGAAAGCAUUUUUAACCAGAGGACCUCCGAAUUCCUGGAGGUAAAGGGUGAAGCAACC